UACGUAGGGAGCAAGCGUUUGUCCGGAAUCAUUGGGUACGUAAGCGCGCGUAUGGUGGCCCUGGUAAGUCCGGCUCAUUGAAAGUCACAGGACUCAACCUGUGAAAGCCGGGUUGGAUACUGCCGGGCUUAGAGUCCGGAAGAGGCGAGUGGGAAUUCCUGGUGUAGCGGUGGAAUGACGCAGAUAUCGGGAAGAACACCCGUGGCGAAGGCGGCUCUCUGGGACGGUACUGACGCUGAGACGCGAAAGCGUGGGGAGCGAACAGG
rnacentral:rRNA from 1 species